rnacentral:rRNA from 1 species
AAGAUGGCCGGACCGGCGCGACGGGUGAGUAACACGUAUCCAACCUGCCGAUAACUCUGGAAUAGCCUUUCGAAAGAAAGAUUAAUACCGGAUGGCAUACGAAUAUCGCAUGAUAUUUUUAUUAAAGAAUUUCGGUUAUCGAUGGGGAUGCGUUCCAUUAGUUUGUUGGCGGGGUAACGGCCCACCAAGACAACGAUGGAUAGGGGUUCUGAGAGGAAGGUCCCCCACAUUGGAACUGAGACACGGUCCAA